rnacentral:rRNA from 2 species
AACGCUGGCGGCAUGCCUAAUACAUGCAAGUCGAACGAGCUUCCGUUGAAUGACGUGCUUGCACUGAUUUUACAAUGAACCGAGUGGCGAACUGGUGAGUAACACGUGGGAAAUCUGCCCAUAAGCAGGGGAUAACACUUGGAAACCGGUGCUAAUACCGUAUAACAACAAGAAUCCGCAUGGAUUUUGUUUGAAAGGUGGCUUCGGCUAUCACUUCUGGAUGAUCCCGCGGCGCAUUAGUUAGUUGGUGAGGUAAAGGCCCACCAAGACGAUGAUACGUAGCCGACCUGAGAGGGUAAUCGGCCACAUUGGGACUGAGACACGGCCCAAACUCCUACGGGAGGCAGCAGUAGGGAAUCUUCCACAAUGGACGAAAGUCUGAUGGAGCAAUGCCGCGUGAGUGAAGAAGGGUUUCGGCUCGUAAAACUCUGUUGUUAAAGAAGAACACCUUGGAGAGUAACUGCUCAAGGGUUGCCGGAUUUAACCAGAAAGCCACGGCUAACUA